AAGCACGCAUUGAGGAAGAAGCUUUUUGUGACGAAAGUAUAAUGUGCAUCGAGUGCCAUAACAACUUCGCUGUUUGUCGCUGCGUGGAUUGUGGUCCUAGACAGUUGUUUUGCAUCAACUGCGCGAAAACUAUCCACGAACAACGCAACGUCUUUCACCUACUUGAAAUUUUCAAGGAUGGUUGUUUUGUUCCUUUAUUUGUUAAUCAUGGUGUUUUGACUCUUGAUCACCAAAGAAAUUGUCCAACUGCACAAGCACAAAACAUUAUUUGUAUUGAUGAAAAAGGGCAUCAACACUUGAAAUGGAUCAACUUUUGUAACUGUGAAGAUGCUGCAGUUACACUUGUAAAGUUCCAAUUAUGGCCAGGAUCAGCUGUUAGACCUCAGGUUGCAUUUCAUUUUAAGUUGGUUACACUUGC